UUGGGCGGCACAAGGCUGAGAGAAAAAGAAGUUGUUCCCGGGCAGUAGGUCAGUGCCAUUUUGUGGAGUGUCUGAUGAGCAGAAUGGAUGCUUGGACAGUUAACUUACCAUAAACUUGCAGCAAUUGAAGGUACUGAGGUGGAGAAUUACUUCUAGUGCCCAAUAAGUGACCAUUCAAGGGAAGAUGGGAGAGGCUGAAACUUCAUGGGACACACCGAUGAUAGUAAUGUAAGCAAAUAUUUACAUAGUGCAAAUGCUCUAACAUGUUCAGUGUUGCUUGGGUUAGCAAACCCCAAUAAAUCAAUGGCUGACAUUGUCUCAGUUGGAGCCAAUUGACUAGCAACAGUCAGUUUGGGGACCCAGAAUACACAGAC
rnacentral:lncRNA from 1 species